rnacentral:tRNA from 1 species
AGUUUAAUAGUUUAAAAAAAAAUAUUAAAUUGCAAAUUUAAAGAUAUAAAAAAAAUUUUAGUUAGACUU